AGCAGCCUCAGGCUGGCCAUGGUGGAUUAAAUGCACCGCGGAGCGUGGUCAGGGGUAUGAGGUGGAGGCGAAGUGCUGCCGGGUCCUUAGAGCUUGUCCCCAUUAUCCCUCUUUGCUGAAAGCCGGGCGACUUUGACGGCCACGCCUCGCCUCCCCGUCCAUCUUGUUCUUAGCUAGAGAAGAAGGAAGAGAGAGAUGGAAACAUCAAUCAACUGCCUACUGAGGAUCCAGCCAAUAACCAGGCCAUAUGCCCUGACUUUGGAUUGAACUGUGGAUCUCCUGGUGCAUGGGAUGACACUUAACCCACUGAGCCACACCAGCCUGAGUAAUCAGGCUUUUUAAAAAAUCAUUUUAGCCUUUGCUGGUUGCUCAGUGAUUAGUGUAGGCUUAUGGACUGAAUGGUUGUGGGUUCAAUUCUGGUCAAGGACACAUACCUCGGUUGCUAAAAAAUAAAUGGAAAAAGAUAUCCUCGGGUGUGGAUUAACAAAAAAAUAAUCUAUACUAAUAAAAGAGUAAUAUGCUAAUUAGACUGAGUCAACUGGCCAUCUUCUGGACGUCUGGCUUCCUUCUGGUGGUGGGGGCCGAGGCAGAAGCAGUUAGGGGCAACCAGGCCAGCAGGAGAGGGCAGUUGGGGGCAUUAAGCAGGCAGGCAAGUGAGUGGUUAGGAGCCAGUGGUCCUGGAUUGCGAGAGGGAUGCCCACAGGGAUCGGGCCUACACUGGCAGUCAGACAUCCCCCGAGGGGUCCCGGAUUGGAGAGGGUGCAGGCCAGGCUGAGGAACACCCCCUCCACACCCCACCCCCGUGCACGAAUUUCGUGCGCCAGGCCUCUAGUAAUUUCAUAAUUACAAAUGGAAGAUGGUUUUUGGCUUUCUCUUUCCUCGCCACCCAUUUUUCCCUUUGAUCAGGCUGGCAUCCAGAACACUCUCCUUUUGGCCUGCAGGGAUGUCUCCUUUAUUUUGGUUCAGAUUGUCUGCACCUGUUCAGUGAUGGUUUUGUUUUGCUUUGUGUUAGCUAUACUUCUUUAUACUGCGCCACACCUAACACAGUGCAAUAAAUAUUUUAUUGAAUUAUACUCUUCGGGUUUUUUGUUUUUAUUUGAACUUUUCAGUUGAGGUGACGGGAAGUUCAGGGAGAAAAAUUAAGUUCAAGAGAGUUUUCCAGGUUACAUACAUGGUAUAACAAUGGGUACGGAAAGCUUAUAAUUUGUGUGCAAUCAAGUCACCUUUCAGGCAGACAUAUUCUCGUUGGUGUGUAAACAGUAUCAAUUUGGACUGGAAUUGCUGGAAGCAGGCUGUCCUUUGUGCGCUGGCUUCAGUCUUUUUUCUUCUGUAUAAUGCAGUGAUGGCGAACCUUUUGAGCUCGGCGUGUCAGCAUUUUGAAAAACCCUAACUUAACUCUGGUGCCGUGUCACAUAUAGAAAUUUUUUUAUAUUUGCAACCAUAGUAAAACAAAGACUUAUAUUUUUUAUAUUUAUUUUAUAUAUUUAAAUGCCAUUUAACAAAGAAAAAUCAACCAAAAAAAAUGAGUUCGUGUGUCACCUCUGACACGCGUGUCAUAGGUUCACCAUCACU